rnacentral:rRNA from 1 species
GACGAACGCUGGCGGCGUGCCUAAUACAUGCAAGUAGAACGCACAGUUUAUACCGUAGCUUGCUACACCAUAGACUGUGAGUUGCGAACGGGUGAGUAACGCGUAGGUAACCUGCCUGGUAGCGGGGGAUAACUAUUGGAAACGAUAGCUAAUACCGCAUAAUAUUGAUUAUUGCAUGAUAAUUGAUUGAAAGAUGCUAUUGCAUCACUACCAGAUGGACCUGCGUUGUAUUAGCUAGUAGGUGAGGUAACGGCUCACCUAGGCGACGAUACAUAGCCGACCUGAGAGGGUGAUCGGCCACACUGGGACUGAGACACGGCCCAGACGCCUACGGGAGGCAGCAGUAGGGAAUCUUCGGCAAUGGACGAAAGUCUGACCGAGCAACGCCGCGUGAGUGAAGAAGGUUUUCGGAUCGUAAAGCUCUGUUGUAAGAGAGGAACGGGUGUGAGAGUGGAAAGUUCACACUGUGACGGUAUCUUACCAGAAAGGGACGGCUAACUACGUG